UAAAGGGCGCGUAGGCUGCUUGGCAAGCCUGGUGUGAAAGGGCACAGCUUAACUGUAGGAGUGCGCUGGGAACUGUCUAGCUAGAGUUUCGGAGGGGAAGCUGUAAUUCCUGGUGUACGGGUGAAAUCUGUCCAUAUCAGGAAGUACAUCUGUGGCGGAAGCCGAGCUUGCGGCCCGAGCCUUACGCUUGUGCUCGAAGCGUGAGGAGCGAACAGGAUGUAGAUAACCUGCUAGUACACGCCGGUAAUCGAUGUCCAUCUAGCGUAUCGAUCUCUGAUAACGGUUCGGGUCCGAAUCACACGCGAUCAGUGCAACGCCUGGAGACUACGCUCGCGAAGGAGGACACUCGAAAGAAUAGACGUGGGACCCGCACAACGCGGUGCGAGCAUCAGGAAGCAGAGGAUGAGACGCGAGGAACCGUACCAGGGUUAGACAUACGGCGGACUGCGACAGAGAUGUCACUUCCCUUCGGGGCCAGUCAAACAGGUGCAGCAUGCCCAUCGUCAGCUCGUCCUUUGACAUCUUGGGUCUAAGUCCCGCAACGAGCACAACCCCUACAAGCUGUUACCAGCACGUAAUGCUCGGCGACUCAGACGGUACUGCCGGUGACACACCGGAGGAAGGUGGGGACGACGUCAAGUCAUCAUGGCCAUUAUGUCCUGGGCUACACACAUGCUACAAUGGCCGGUACAGAGUGUAGCCAAAUCGCGAGAUGGAGCAAAUCACAGAGAG
rnacentral:rRNA from 1 species